rnacentral:rRNA from 1 species
ACGGUGCUAAUACCGCAUAAUGCAGCGGCAUCUAUGAUGACAGUUGUUAAAGCGGGGGAUCGUAAGACCUCGCGCCUGAAGAGAAGCUCGCGGCAGAUUAGCUAGUUGGUAGGGUAAUGGCCUACCAAGGCGACGAUCUGUAGCCGGCCUGAGAGGGCGGUCGGCCACACUGACACUGACAUACGGGUCAGACUCCUACGGGAGGCAGCAGUCGGGAAUUUUGGGCAAUGGGCGAAAGCCUGACCCAGCAACGCCGCGUGAAGGAUGAAGCUUUUCGGAGUGUAAACUUCACAAGAAUGGGAAGAAUAAGUUUUGGAUAAUACCCAAAACGAUGACGGUACCAUUUGUAAGCUCCGGCUAACUCCGUGCCAGCAGCCGCGGUAAUACGGGGGGAGCAAGCGUUGUUCGGAUUUACUGGGCGUAAAGGGCGCGUAGGCGGCGCGACAAGUCACUUGUGAAAUCUCCGGGCUCAACUCGGAACGGUCAAGUGAUACUGUCAUGCUAGAGUGCGGAAGGGGCAACCGGAAUUCUUGGUGUAGCGGUGAAAUGCGUAGAUAUCAAGAGGAACACCUGCGGCGAAGGCGGGUUGCUGGGCCGACACUGACGCUGAGGCGCGAAAGCUAGGGGAGCGA